UAAAAUAUAUAAUAGAAACACAUAGAACAACAAUACUAAUCAAAACAGGGAAACGAAUAAUUUCAAUAAGAAUUUGAGAAUAAUAUUUUUUUUCUAAUAUUAGGAUUUGUGAAUUUGACUCAGUGGAAAGAGUUAUUACCUAUCUCUACUUGGCCCCAUUAUUUCUCCAGCUUCGGUGCAAUGAAAACAACUUACAUGAGCUGUCAAGGCUUAUCUUUCAGAUAACUCCUAAAUACUUCAGCACAGAAGGUAAAACAUGGAAAUCUAAGCUCCUACAUCACAUAUACUCUAAAAGAUAAGGCUAAGAAUCAAAAAUUUUCCCUCUGAAGAAGAUAUGAUGUGUAC